rnacentral:rRNA from 1 species
AUUGAACGCUGGCGGCAGGCCUAACACAUGCAAGUCGAGCGGAUGAAGGGAGCUUGCUCCUGGAUUCAGCGGCGGACGGGUGAGUAAUGCCUAGGAAUCUGCCUGGUAGUGGGGGAUAACGUCCGGAAACGGGCGCUAAUACCGCAUACGUCCUGAGGGAGAAAGUGGGGGAUCUUCGGACCUCACGCUAUCAGAUGAGCCUAGGUCGGAUUAGCGAGUUGGUGGGGUAAAGGCCUACCAAGGCGACGAUCCGUAACUGGUCUGAGAGGAUGAUCAGUCACACUGGAACUGAGACACGGUCCAGACUCCUACGGGAGGCAGCAGUGGGGAAUAUUGGACGAUGGGGGAAAGCCUGAUACAGCCAUGCCGCGUGUGUGAAGAAGGUCUUCGGAUUGUAAAGCGCUUUAAGUUGGGAGGAAGGGCAGUAAGUUAAUACCUUGCUGUUUUGACGGUACCAACAGAAUAAGCACCGGCUAACUUCGUG